UGGUGACUUUCUUGUUUUUAAAUGAAUUUUGUUCGCAAUAUACCAAGGAGGAUUUAUAAAGGUGGUCUCACGCGAACAGCUGUUAACAGUCGGCCAGAUUGGACGAUCAGCUUGAUGGCAAAAUGGCAAAAUGGCGAUUUCACCGUAUGGUUUUAUGAUGACAACCUUCAAAAUAAUUCAACCAUGGCAACAUACCAAAACACAAGUGAAACAUCAAUCGAUAGAGUUAAUUCGUUUUAAACUUAUAAACGAGCAACCUUAAUAACACUCAAACCUACGCAGCUUAAAUGAAAUUUUCUUUGCGAAACAGGGUAACGUAAUCGGCAUUGGUGAAUUUUUUUCAACUAUGAAUUAAUUAACUGCAAAUAAAAUCGAUUAAUUACAGCACAUAUGUAAC